CAUGUCCUUUUGAUAAUAAAAUUUAAGGUCUAACCUGCCCAAUGAUAAAAUAUUUAAUGGCCGCGGUACUUUGACCGUGCAAAGGUAGCAUAAUCAUUAGUUUUUUAAUUGAAAGCUGGAAUGAAGGGUUGAAUGAGAAAAUUACUGUCUUUAUUAUAUUUAAUUAAAAUUUUAUUUUUAAGUUAAAAAGCUUAAAUUUUAUUUAUAGACGAGAAGACCCUUUAGAGUUUUAUAAAUACUUAUUUAAAAUUUUUUAGGAUUAAUUUAAUUUUUAAAUUAGUUAUUUAUUUGAUUGGGGUGAUUGAAAAAUUUAAAUAACUUUUUUUUUUAUUUUACAUUUAUAUAUGAAUAAUUGAUCCAUUAAUUAUGAUUAUAAGAUUAAAUUACCUAAGGGAUAACAGCGUUAUUUUUUUUGAGAGUUCUAAUCGAAAAAAAAGUUUGCGACCUCGAUGUUGGAUUAAAAUUAAAUUAUGGUGUAGAGGCUAUAAUCGUA
rnacentral:rRNA from 1 species